rnacentral:misc_RNA from 1 species
AUGAUAAUUAAACGAAAAUUAAACUAUGAUUUAAAAGGUAUGAGAGAAAGAAGAAGAAAGAGGAACAAAACAAUGCUAAAGAAAAAGUUUCCUAUUACAAGAAAUAUUUUUGAUCAUGUAAAAGUAAUAAAUAUUAAUAAACUCCCUCUUUCUCGGUUUUAAGUUAUUAAAGGUAUAUGCAAUAUCUCUUUAUAUCAUUUCUCUCUAUAAAUAUCUUUAUGUAUCUAUAUAUAUAUAUCGUUGACGAAAGAGUAAAGUAAUGCAAAUUUUAAGCGAAUACAAUACAUUUAUUGCGACACAAGCUAUUAUUAGAAUGCCUAUAACUACGAAGGAUACGAAGUAUUUAUCACAUUACUAUGAUAUUGCAAUUAUGACAUUACUGUCCUUAGACUUUGAGUUCGUUAACAGAACCACAGAAUAAUGUUUUUAAGGAUUCUUAACGUGUCCAUUGAAUAGCGUUACGAUGUCUCGAUUUUCUGUUUGUUUUUUAUAAAUAGCAUAAUAGAACGGCCGAUCAAUUUGCAUUGGAGUCCAACUGGGUAACUUUUCAACUUCAAUUGUUAUUUCUGGAACAAAUUUUAUAUAAGCUUUUUUAAUACCGUUUUAGCAAAUGUACAGAUCGAACUGAAUCUCUAUAAUUUCUAGUAUAUCUUAAUGUAUCAUAAAAGAAACGAUUCUGCAUAACUUUUUCCUGUCCAUGUAACCACCGCACAGUGACAGUUUUCGAG